rnacentral:rRNA from 1 species
UACGGAGGGUGCAAGCGUUGUCCGGAUUUAUUGGGUUUAAAGGGUGCGUAGGCGGCCCUGUAAGUCAGUGGUGAAAUACUGCAGCUUAACUGUAGCAUUGCCAUUGAUACUGUAGGGCUUGAGUACAGAUGAGGUAGGCGGAAUUGAUGGUGUAGCGGUGAAAUGCAUAGAUACCAUCAAGAACACCGAUUGCGAAUGCAGCUUACUAAGCUGUAACUGACGCUGAGGCACGAAAGCGUGGGGAUCGAACAGG